rnacentral:rRNA from 1 species
GACGAACGCUGGCGGCGUGCUUAACACAUGCAAGUCGAACGGAAAGGCCCUGCUUUCGUGGGGUGCUCGAGUGGCGAACGGGUGAGUAACACGUGAGUAACCUGCCCUUGACUUUGGGAUAACUUCAGGAAACUGGGGCUAAUACCGGAUAGGAGCUCCUGCUGCAUGGUGGGGGUUGGAACGUUUCGGCGGUUGGGGAUGGACUCGCGGCUUAUCAGCUUGUUGGUGGGGUAGUGGCUUACCAAGGCAUUGACGGGUAGCCGGCCUGAGAGGGUGACCGGCCACAUUGGGACUGAGAGACGGCCCAGACUCCUACGGGAGGCAGCAGUGGGGAAUAUUGCACAAUGGGCGGAAGCCUGAUGCAGCAACGCCGCGUGCGGGAUGACGGCCUUCGGGUUGUAAACCGCUGUCGCCUGUGACGAAGCGGGAGUGACGGUAAUGGGUAAAGAAGCACCGGCUAACUACGUG